rnacentral:rRNA from 1 species
CUCCAGACUCCUACGGGAGGCAGCAGUGGGGAAUCUUCCGCAAUGGGCGAAAGCCUGACGGAGCAACGCCGCGUGAUCGAAUGAAGGCCUUCGGGUUGUAAAGAUCUGUUGACAGGGACGAAUAAGCAAUGCGAAUAGUUUUGUGUAUGACGGUACCUGUUUAGAAAGCUCCGGCUAACUACGUGCCAGCAGCCGCGGUAAUACGUAGGGAGCAAGCGUUGUCCGGAAUUACUGGGCGUAAAGGGCGCGUAGGUGGGCGCUUAAGUCAGGUGUGAAAACUCCGGGCUCAACCUGGAGACUGCACUUGAAACUGGGUGUCUUGAGAUGUCGAGAGGUAUGCGGAAUGCGUAGUGUAGCGGUGAAAUGCUUAGAUAUUGCGCAGAACUCCGAUUGCGAAGGCAGCAUACCGGCGGCGAUCUGACGCUGAGGCACGAAAGCGUGGGUAUCGAACAGGAUUAGAUACCCUAGUAG